AGUCGAGGGGUAUAGUAGCAAUACUAGAGACCGGCGCACGGGUGCGUAACGCGUAUGCAAUCUACCUUUUGCAGAGGGAUAGCCCAGAGAAAUUUGGAUUAAUACCUCAUAGUAUAACGACUCGGCAUCGAGAUGUUAUUAAAGUCACAACGGCAAAAGAUGAGCAUGCGUCCCAUUAGCUAGUUGGUAAGGUAACGGCUUACCAAGACUACGAUGGGUAGGGGUCCUGAGAGGGAGAUCCCCCACACUGGUACUGAGACACGGACCAGACUCCUACGGGAGGCAGCAGUGAGGAAUAUUGGACAAUGGGCGCAAGCCUGAUCCAGCCAUGCCGCGUGCAGGAUGACGGUCCUAUGGAUUGUAAACUGCUUUUGCACAGGAAGAAACAACGCUACGUGUAGCGUCUUGACGGUACUGUGAGAAUAAGGAUCGGCUAACUCCGUGCCAGCAGCCGCGGUAAUACGGAGGAUCCAAGCGUUAUCCGGAAUCAUUGGGUUUAAAGGGUCCGUAGGCGGUCUUAUAAGUCAGUGGUGAAAUCUCCCCGCUCAACGGGGAAACGGCCAUUGAUACUGUAGGACUUGAAUUAUUAGGAAGUAACUAGAAUAUGUAGUGUAGCGGUGAAAUGCUUAGAGAUUACAUGGAAUACCAAUUGCGAAGGCAGGUUACUACUAAUGGAUUGACGCUGAUGGACGAAAGCGUGGGUAGCGAACAGGAUUAGAUACCCUGGUAGUCCACGCCGUAAACGAUGGAUACUAGCUGUUGGGCGCAAGUUCAGUGGCUAAGCGAAAGUGAUAAGUAUCCCACCUGGG
rnacentral:rRNA from 1 species